rnacentral:misc_RNA from 1 species
ACCAAACACGAUAGCAGUCUCAAGCCAUAAACUUCCAAAUAGAAAACACAAAAAAAUGCAAACCAUCAAUUUUGCUUCUACAGACCACAUCAUAUACCAUAAAUCAUUCCACACACAAACAAAUAUUUGCGUCAGAGAGCGUUUGAAUAUCUAGAAAACGACAGCUAAUCAGUAAUUGGCCUAAAUAGCAACACCCUACUUCCAUUUGGAUACAAACGUAGAAUAAUCAAUACUGAAGUUUCCAAUAAAAUGAUAAAAAUAUCAUAGAUCCCAUUACACUGAACAAAUCCAUUCCAUUAGCAGUGAAGAUUAAAGACGCCACCCCAUUUUUUCGCCUCAGGUGUCAAUGAAAAUGCGAUAGAUACUAAACACGCAAUCUUAAAACUGCGAACAUAGUAAAAAAGAGAUGAUAAGCAAUAAAGGAGCUGAGAUCUUCCCAUUACCUCAUGAUUGGAAGCUUUCAAGAA